rnacentral:misc_RNA from 1 species
CUGAGGACCAGCAUGGUCGGGAAACGGGCACGGGCACACGUACGUGUUGCCCACGCGCCGAAACUGGCCUGGUCGAUACCCAGCAUAUUUGACCACUAACGCCCGC